rnacentral:rRNA from 1 species
GUACACGGUGGAUGCCCUGGCAGUCAGAGGCGAUGAAGGACGUGCUAAUCUGCGAUAAGCGCCGGUAAGGUGAUAUGAACCGUUAUAACCGGCGAUUUCCGAAUGGGGAAACCCAGUGUGAUUCGUCACACUAUCAUUAACUGAAUCCAUAGGUUAAUGAGGCGAACCGGGGGAACUGAAACAUCUAAGUACCCCGAGGAAAAGAAAUCAACCGAGAUUCCCCCAGUAGCGGCGAGCGAACGGGGAGGAGCCCAGAGCCUGAAUCAGCAUGUGUGUUAGUGGAAGCGUCUGGAAAGGCGCGCGAUACAGGGUGACAGCCCCGUACACAAAAGCGCAUGUGCUGUGAGCUCGAUGAGUAGGGCGGGACACGUGGUAUCCUGUCUGAAUAUGGGGGGACCAUCCUCCAAGGCUAAAUACUCCUGACUGACCGAUAGUGAACCAGUACCGUGAGGGAAAGGCGAAAAGAACCCCGGCGAGGGGAGUGAAAAAGAACCUGAAACCGUGUACGUACAAGCAGUGGGAGCACAGGUUUACCUGUGUGACUGCGUACCUUUUGUAUAAUGGGUCAGCGACUUAUAUUCUGUAGCAAGGUUAACCGAAU